rnacentral:misc_RNA from 1 species
UCCUGCUUUCGCAGGCAGUCCCAUCAGAGUGCCUCACUCACGUGAAUAGCAACUGACAGCAAGGGUUGCGCUCGUUAAAGGACUUAACCCAACAUCUCACGACACGAGCUGACGACAGCCAUGCAUCACCUGUGCAACUGUCUAUGCUUUCGCAUAAAAAACUGUAUUUCUACAGUGGUCAGAAGCAUGUCAAGCCUAGGUAAGGUUCCUCGCGUAGUGUCGAAUUAAACCACAUGUUCCACCGCUUGUGCGAGCCCCCGUCAAUUCUUUUAAGUUUUAGUCUUGCGACCGUAAUCCCCAGGCGGAUCACUUAACGCGUUAGCUGCGACACUAAUCCUGCUAAGCAAGACUAACGUCUAGUGAUCAUCGUUUACAGCGUGGACUAC